UACGUAGGGUGCGAGCGUUAAUCGGAAUUACUGGGCGUAAAGCGUGCGCAGGCGGUUCGUUGUGUCGGCGGUGAAAGCCCCGGGCUCAACCUGGGAAUGGCCGUUGAAACUGGCGAACUGGAGUGUGGCAGAGGGGGGUGGAAUUCCACGUGUAGCAGUGAAAUGCGUAGAGAUGUGGAGGAACACCGAUGGCGAAGGCAGCCCCCUGGGCCAAAACUGACGCUCAGGCACGAAAGCGUGGGGAGCAAACAGG
rnacentral:rRNA from 1 species